rnacentral:rRNA from 1 species
CAAUAGCGUAUAUUAAAGUUGUUGCAGUUAAAAAGCUCGUAGUUGGAUUUCUGAUCGAGACAUCAGGUCGGGUCCGAGAGGAUCAUGUACUUUGAUUUUGUUUUGAUCAUCCUUGGGGAGAGCAUUUCUGGCAUUCAGUUGUCGGGAUUGGGAUCCUCAUCGUUUACUGUGAAAAAAUUAGAGUGUUCAAAGCAGGCCUCGGCCUCUGAAUACAUUAACAUGGAAUAAUAAGAUAGGACUUUGGUGGUCUAUUUUGUUGGUUUGCACGCCAAAGUAAUGAUUAAUAGGGAUAGUUGGGGGUAUUCGUAUUCAAUUGUCAGAGGUGAAAUUCUUGGAUUUAUGGAAGACGAACUACUGCGAAAGCAUUUACCAAGGAUGUUUUCAUUAA